GCAGGGUGAUGAGGAGGUCCUGUUAACCCAGCAGGGUGAUGAGGAGGCCAGGGUGAUGAGGAGGUCCUGUUAAACCAGCAGGGUGAUGAGGAGGCCAGGGUGAUGAGGAGAUCCUUUUAUAACAGCAGGGUGAUGAGGAGGUCCUGUUAAACCAGCAGGGUGAUGAGGAGGUCCUGUUAGACCAGCAGGGUGAUGAGGAGGUCCUGUUAGACCAGCAGGGGACGAGGAAUGCCGGCCGGAUGGGGGGCAGGUGUCAGGAGACAGAGGUUUCACACAGCUAGGGAACUCCAGGCAAGCAGCUCGCUCACUAAAAUGACUUUAUUAUUCAGGCUUCUGCCAAGCGGCGCUCAGGGUGGAAAAUACACAGGAUCCCCGGCGCCAAGUCCCUCGCGCUCGGAAAAUCCUCCCCAGAAGCGUCCAAGCACAGGCCUGGCUUCAAUCACCUUCCCUCCCAGG
ensembl:lncRNA